CCGAGUGAGGGUCCCUUGCGGGCCCAACCUCCCACCCGUGUUUAACUAUACCGUGUUGCUUCGGCGGGCCCACCGGGGCCUGUUCCUGGUCGCCUGGGGGCGUGAAACCCCCCGGGCCCGUGCCCGCCGGAGACCCCUUGAACCCUGAGUGAAUCGAGUGUCGUCUGAGUUUGAGUUAAAUCAUUA
rnacentral:misc_RNA from 1 species